rnacentral:lncRNA from 1 species
CCUCAGUAGGCCUCGCCAGGGAGAGUGAGUUCUCCGUGGUCACGUGGCCCAUAUGGGGCAGAGGCAGGCUCUUCUGAGGCUUAUUCCAGUCCGAUACUCUUGACCCCUGAGCACAUGGCCUCUUUUGCUGAAAUGUCUCACCAUCUUUGAUUAUCAAGCUAUGCAUUCUAGGCUCACGUCUACAGCUCCUAGAGAGAGUCUUCUCGAGGCACAAUGUCUGACUUCACCAGCUCCCACCACGUCUUUGCCUGCCCUGGACUGAGAAUAUUCUCUCUUCCUCAUGACCUGUGGGUCAUUUGCUGGUCCUCUGGAAGGAAGAAGGCACUCAGUGAGUUGGAUUCUCUCUUCCACACCACAGGAGCCUUGUGGCCUGGAGUUGGCGCGGCCUCCUCUGGAGCUGGUGAUGAGCUUGUAAAAGGGGCUGGACUUGGCCAAGGCAAGUUCAGAGACUCGUUCAGGAAAGACCCUGAGACCCAAGCCAGGUAGAAAGUCAAGCAGAAUUCUUAUCUCCCUCUUCAUUUAGUUAAUUCUUGCUCCCCCUUUAAGUUCGGGCCCCAACUCCCUCUGGAAGACUUCCAAGGGACAAGUUAGAUGCUGAGCCUUGGACUUCUGGAAUAUCCAGUGUGCCUCUCAGAACCUUGGUAAGAGCAGGGAUCGUGCAUCCGGAGUGUUGGGGCUGGAGUCCGCUGCAGAUGCACUGUGCACGUUUAUUGAAUAACUGUAGGUGUAGCUCCCUGUGGCCCUGUCAUCAAGAUCUGGUCAGUGGGAUGUGAGAAGUAAAAUAUGACAUUUUAGGUUUUCUGGGUCACAUCCUUGAAAGGAAACUGCGUGUCCUUCUUUUCCUCUUCUGCUUCCCAUGGGUGGGGCCAGGUGCAUCCAAGCAGAUGAAGGCAAUACUGGAGGGGUGGCUGCAUGAGGGAGAGGAGGGUCCUGGUUCCGGAGGGACCUUGUGGAGCAAAGACCUCUUCCUGGUCCGGACCACCUGUCCACCCCUGUAGUGCCCAUCCACCCCUGGACCACCCGUCCACACCGGACUGCCCAUCCACCCCUGGAGUGCCCGUCCACGCCUGUAGUGCCCAUCCACCCCUGGACCACCCGUCCACCCCGGACUGCCUGUCCCCCGCUGGAGUGCCCGUCCACCCCUGGACUGCUACUGAGAGAAGAAUGAGCGCUUGUCUUGUUGGAGCACUUGUCUCCUCGUUUCAGCAGUCCGCAUUGUGCUGUAACCAACAUGCAUUCCAGGUGAAAACCGGAGAACUGACUUCACUUCAGCUAACCUCCUCCUCUCGAUUUCUUCACAAUGUUUGUAUUUCUAGUAUCAUUUUUAGUUUUUCUUAGGGUUACCUUUGUGACUUUAAGUAAAGACACCCUUACGCCGC